UCAAGCUUCUUGAUUUAAAUUAUAUCUUAUUGGAGUAUUUUUGUGAUAAAGAUAUUAUAUUUUGUUUGCCAUGCUACCUUUUUGGUAAGAACAUUGCUUGAUUGAGUCAGCAACAAUUUUAUGAUAAAUUUCCCAGCCUCCUACAUUGACACCCAAUAAAUGACCCUUGUACGCAAGAAAGAUAAUUUUCUAUCUGCACAAACCAGGAACACCCAAUAUUUUUCAGUCAAAAAAGAAAACUUAGAAACAGAUUCAUCAAUGCCUAAUGUCAGUAUGUACCAAGAAGUCCAUUCGUGCUCCUCCGAAUGGCCUCAAACUAAUUUAAAUCCUCCUUUGUUAGGAAGACGUGCUAUACAAUUACGGUUAUAACCUCCAAAGCCUAGAUCAGGAACCUCAACAUCAUCCAUGACGAUGGGGUUUGCAACAUAGAGAACCUUAACCCUUGCAUAACAAAAUACUGACAUACCUUCACAACUACUGUCAAGUAAUCCUGGAUAUAUAACUAUGGUUGAAGUUAGUAAUUUCAAAGUCCCCAUUUUUCUUUAAACUCAAGAAAGCGAGCUCAACUGUAUUUGUUCUGAAGAAAGAGGCCACGUUUUGACCUCUACAAGUGUGUCUCAACGGGGGUUGCAAAUGAUCUGUGCCCACGACCACGGUCUCUACCGAUGACUCUUUCUUCUCUGGCUGCUAGCAGGGCUCCUCGUCGAACAACAAGAUAAUCACCGUCCACUAUUAGAUUUCGUAUCCGACGAAACGCUCGAAGAGCGGCGUUAGUUGCUUCGAGUAUGACAUCUCUACACUGAGGGUGUAGAGAUAGCUAGAUAGGUGAUGUGAGGUCGAGCGUAUUCAGCGCUGCAGGAUUUAAGGCCUUCAUUUCAUCGAAAAAAACAUAAACGGUUUUUUCAAGAGACAAUAUACGGCCUUUCUGAGUAAAAGCGUUUUGGCGUUUGCUUGACAACGGAUAGAUGUACUUAGAUGAUAAGACCUCCUCAGACAGACGCUCCUCUGUGCAUUGGCAGCCGCCGAAUAUAAACCACAGAAGGAACAACCACAGGCCGUACGGACCGCACCGGAAAUCGAAGCCGUGGGCUGGGGAUUAUCAAUAAUAUUAUCUGUUUCAUUGACGAGGUAUGGCUUCCGUCCGGUUACUGGUUAGACAAGUUUUCUUUUAAAAAUAUGAAAGGCCGUGAGCUAGGGCUUAUGCAUUUUCAAACUGGUGUUAUUAUAAGCAAAAACAUAAAUAAAACUACUUUAAAACUUACCUCCAAUUAAUCUAUAUAAAGUACCUUAAAAGGUUUUUUUUUUCUUUUAAAUAAUACUACAAGACAUGCCGAGCCCAAUUUUUUUCUGUUCUCCACGUCCCCUGCUGUAGUUCUAAGUUUGUAGAAUUUUUUUCCACCAAAACUAAGCAACUGUCAAAAAGACUUGAAAGAGUAAAGCAAGGAAGCAUGGAAAAGUUAUCCAAACAAAACUUCCUUAAAAUAUAAUCCACUCUCCUCAACCCCUGAAUCUAAUGCUAAGAAGAGAAGUUGAAGAACAUUGGAACAUAGAAAUGGACCGCAAGUAGAACAUAGAGAAGUUCAAGGGCCCACCAAGGCUACUAAAAUAUUUUAGUGAAGUUCAGAUUAAUCUUUGCAUUACUUUGGGGAUUGUUUCUUUCUUCAAACUUUGCUCGAAACAUGAGGAUAUCUGAUAAUUGUUUGACAUUUGCAGUCACAAUUCUUAUCAUCUGGUUUGCAUAGUGAGGCACUGUUGGUUUUUCCAAUAACCUUGGCCGUUAGUUCUUAUGACAGGGGGAGGAAUUUUCUUUAUGAAUGUCUCUGAACUGUUCUAUUCUUCAGAUGAAAAGAAUCAUGAUGAACAUAGUGAAAUUUCAUGGGUUAAGGUCCAUGUUGAGCAAAGUGGUGUCUAUAGGGUAGAAUCCGGAGAUGAACGUGCAGCUCGACUGAGGAAAACCAUAGAGAAUAAUUACUUUCCAGCAACAGAAGUCAAGGCUUGCAAUCAGUACCCUGAGAGAGUUAUUUAGAUGCGCUCUUAAGUGAAGAGGUCUUUAUGGCAAUAUUGGCUGCUUUUGACCAUGGCAAAACCCACAACGAAGCAAUGGAGCACUUUCAGACAUUCUUGGAUGGCAGAAACACUCUAAUUCUUUCAGCAGACAGAAAAAGGUUUUAAAACAGAAUCUUGUAAGGUCCACAUACGUUGCUUAUUCUAUGAAUCUUUGCAAAAUGUAUGAUACCUAAAAGGCCUGGUUGCUCGACAGGCUGCUUAUGUCGCUGUUAUGAGCAAUGCUAACACAACAAAUAGGGAUGGUUUUGAGUCCCUAGUGAAGGCUUGUAUAGAGCAACUUAUGCAGUUCACAAGAAGGAACAUGUUUUAUGUAAAAUAGUUUCUUCUCCAGGCCCGGAUAUAGUUGAAGAGGUUCUGAACAUUUUAAUAUCUGAUGAGGUAUUAUUGAGCUAUGCUUAGUCUCCUUUCACACCACAGUUUGCUAUGGUUUCUGUCACCUCGAAACUCAUUCAGUUUCGAGAUCAAGAUAUUAUCUGUGGACUUGCUGGAAUUAGCUUGGAAGGCUCUGAAAUAGCCUGGGGGUGGUUGAAGGGAUGCAGUUUCUGCAAAAUUGGCUAGGCCAUCGAUGCACUUUACCUUGAGCCUCAAUUACUUGUAGUAUGAGAUUUUUGGGAAGAAUUUCCAGGGAUGUUAAUGAGCUUGGGAGUGAUCAAACAUCUCUUACAAUGUUUGGUGCCUCUUUAAAUUUACAAUUUACCGAGUAAUGCAUGCAGGAGAACUGGAAUCUUAUCAUAGACAACUAUGGUGAUGGUAGUCUACUCAGAAGUUUUGUCAAAAAGCAAUUAAACCUAAUACAACAGCCAUGAUAUAUUUGCAUGUAUGGAUAGGAAUUAUUAACUUCCAAGAUACCAAGCCAUGAUGAUAAGCAGCCAGCUUGUUGCUUCUAUGAUAUCCAGUCUCUAAGACAAAAGCUACUCAUAGUAUUCUGCUAAAUGCAAUUAUGUCAGAGCCAGAAAAGAUUAUGAUAUAUCUACUUAUUUGAGUGGACUGAUUUGGUUAAACUCAUGUGGGCAGUUUUGCGGCAAUGAGAAAGGUGAUGAGAUAAGAAGAAUGUUUGGUGAACCAUAUGAGACUUUCUUUUGAAGUGACCUUGGAAGGGAUAUUAACUUCAUGUCAUGAUCUAAAUUCCUUAAUUUUAUGACCAUGACUUAUAUCUGCAUUGUAUGCAUUCAUUAAAAGGAAAAAGUUAGUGUAAUGACAGCU